ACACGCCGCCUGUGGCGAUGGCGGCCGCCGCAUCCGUUCCAAUCCACCCCACGCUCUCAAACCCUAGCACCACCAACCAAAGUAGAUUCGCAGGCCGGCUUCUUCGUCAAGGACCGGCCGGGAGCGCGCGAUUCGCCGCCUCCGAUCGAUGCAUGCGCCGUCGCUAUCCGUCGCCCUCGUCUGGUCAGCUUGGACGAGAUGGUGCCUCCGGUUGGUUGCGUCAUGCCGGCGUCGACGGUGUGGCUGGCCUUCUGCAGGCUAGCAUUUGUGCAUGUACACGGAGUCGAAAUAGAGAAAGAAAAAAGGCAUCUACAGUUUUAAAGCCUGGCAGUACAGGGAGGGUAUGUGCUAUUGAGUUCCGUAAUCCAUGUACAGUUCCUGAGAUCUUCAGGACGCAUAUGGCUACCGGGGGGCAAUUAGCGACUUCGUCAGCCCGUCCUUAUUCAGUAGCGUCCAAUUAUCUUUGCCUGAACCUUUUCCUCGGAGCUGGAAAGGACCUACAGUCUCUGAACUUUUGUGCACAAGUUCAGCCGUUUCCUCGACUAUGAGCUGAUCAAGGAUACAAAUGGGUCCAAAAUAAAAAUAAAAAUGAAGACCCUGAAAUCCAGAUGCCAGUCACGUCUGGGAUGAUCAUCAUUCUUCUGUUCUUCUCACUGUCUGAACAUCUUGAGGGAUAGCAAUUGGCAAUUGCUUCUUGCAGGGAACAGUCUGUUGAGACAUCGGGUUGCAGCGUCGCCCUUGAGCUGUGCUGGUCCAGAACAAACUGAACUUCUUCUACAGUUGUGGCACCGGGUGGAUGCAUCUGUUGGCUAAGGACAACGCUAGGGGUUCGGCUCCACCGUCCGGAAUGCUUAGCCCUUGGUCGAUUCUGGAGCACCGUGACGACUGCGUCUUCCAUCAAUGUACAGCUGGUCGCUCUCGAGGCCGGGGAAGAGAUACUUGUGCUAACUAAGCUUGGCUGUGGAAACAGGAAUUCGUGCCCUUCUCCCAGCGAUCUUGUGUUGGUUGCUGGUCGUUUUCUGUUAUCUUUGUGUC